rnacentral:rRNA from 1 species
GAUGAACGCUAGCGGCAGGCCUAAUACAUGCAAGUCGAACGGUAAGUGUAGUAGCAAUAUUAUACGAGAGUGACGUACGGGUGCGUAACACGUAUGCAACCUACCCUUUACAGGAGGAUAGCUCGGGGAAACUCGAAUUAACCCCCCAUGAUAUCAUUUGGUGGCAUCAUUGAAUGAUUAAAACUCCGGUGGUAAAGGAUGGGCAUGCGUCUGAUUAGUUAGUUGGUGCGGGUAACGGCCCACCAAGACGAUGAUCAGUAGGGGAACUGAGAGGUUGAUCCCCCACACUGGCACUGAGAUACGGGCCAGACUCCUACGGGAGGCAGCAGUAGGGAAUAUUGGUCAAUGGAUGGAAGUCUGAACCAGCCAUGCCGCGUGCAGGAAGAAGGCCUUCUGGGUUGUAAACUGCUUUUGCCAGGGGAUAAAAAGACCGUGCGCGGUUAAUUGAAGGUACCUGGUGAAUAAGCCACGGCUAACUACGUGCCAGCAGCCGCGGUAAAAC